GACGAACGCUGGCGGCGUGCCUAAUACAUGCAAGUCGAACGGACAGGCGAUGAUCUUGUGGGGUGCUCGAGUGGCGCAAGGGUGAGUAUAACGUGUGUAAACUGCCCUUGUCUUUGGGGUAACUCUUGGAAAAUGGGGAUAAUAUCGGAUAGGAUAUCUUGAUGCACGGUGGGGGAUGGUAAGAUUCGGCGGUUUGGGAUAGUCUCGCGGCUUAUCCGCUUGAUGGUGGGGUAGUGGCUUACAAAGGCUUCGACGGGUAGCCGGCCUGGGAGAGUGAACGGCCACAAGAGGACUGAGAGAGGGCGCAGACUCCAACGUGAGGCAACAGUCGGGAGUAUUGCACAAUACGCCGGAGCCUGAUGCAACGGCCUCGCGUUCGGAAUAACGUCCUUCUGGGUAUAAACCACUGUCUCCUUUGACGAGGCGUGAUUGACGGUAAUUAAUAAGAAAGCACCGGCUAACUACGUG
rnacentral:rRNA from 1 species